AAUCAACGCUGGCGGCGUGCCUCAGACAUGCAAGUCGAACGAUUAAGACUUCCUUCGGGAAGUGCAUAAAGUGGCGCACGGGUGAGUAACACGUAAGUAAUCUACCCUCGAGUGGGGAAUAACAGUCGGAAACGACUGCUAAUACCGCAUAAUGCAGCGGCACCGCAAGGUGACAGUUGUUAAAGGAGCAAUCCGCUUGAGGAGGAGCUUGCGGCAGAUUAGCUUGUUGGUAAGGUAACGGCUUACCAAGGCUACGAUCUGUAUUCGGUCUAAGAGGACGGUCGGACAUACUGACACUGAAUAACGGGUCAGACUCCUACGGGAGGCAGCAGUCGGGAAUUUUGGGCAAUGGGCGAAAGCCUGACCCAGCAACGCCGCGUGAAGGAUGAAGUAUUUCGGUAUGUAAACUUCGAAAGAAUAGGAAGAAUAAAUGACGGUACUAUUUAUAAGCUCCGGCUAACUACGUGCCAGCCGCCGCCGUAACAC
rnacentral:rRNA from 1 species